rnacentral:misc_RNA from 1 species
CUAGAAUACAAAUUUUCUUUAACAGGGAAGCAUGCAAAAAGUAAUUUUAACUUUGAAAGGUUAUUUACAACAUUCAAAUCACGCUCACUGAACAAGCCCACUGACACACACAAAACCAGACACCAGUUAAAGACCAUGCUUGGAAGAGUAGUCUAUAAGACAAUAACCUUCAGUGCUUAAGACACAUUGAAGCAAAUCACCUAUAAUAAAUAAAAUUUCUUAAAAAGACAAAAAGAAAGAAACAACUGUGACCAAACUGUGAACAAGUAAGUGAUAAGGCUACAAGGUUAUGCAGGGAACGACAUCACGGACAUUUUCCACCAUUGAAGGCAAUAUAAAAUGAAUCAAAUAACUUAAAUUGAUCUGUUAAUUAUAAGUUUAUAACAUUAUUAACAAUCCCACUAGCUUCCAACACCUAGAGUUAACACCCAGACACAGAGAAAGACUAAAAUCAUGGAUACCACACCCCAACUCCACAGUACUGCAUAAAAGUAGCAUUCGAAUAAGGCAAGAAAAGACUAAGAGAACUCUACAAUACCAUGCUAAAAGAGAAAGAAAAUUAAAAUUCACAGCUAAGAAAAUCAAAUUUUGUUUUGAAGAAAUGUAUAAAAAUGCCCUUGUAACACACACACAGAAGAAAUUCUGGAACUAUUCAUCAGUAAACAAAGGAAAAUAAAAGCAUGUAAAUUAACCA